ACGAAAACCUCCCCGAAAAUUUCAACUUCCCCCAAAUCGCAUAUCCUCCGCCAUACUUGAGUAAAACGAACGGAAAUCCCCCCCGGCGGCAUCAGAACCCUUCCCUGUCUUCUAUCAUACUCCACCCCACACCACAAUGUCGAUCCCAACCGUCCAUUCCUCCUCCGAUCCGUUCCUCCAACUCGCCUCAAUCCCACUCAUAGACCUCCGAUUCCUCUCCCAAUCCGAGCUCAACUCGCUCGCUCUCUGCUCCAACGACUCGUUCGAUCUCCGCCGUUGCGACGACGUGGUGGUCCCCAAGAUCGACCGGUCGAUAUUCAACGAGAGCGCCGGCAGCCGGAAGCAGACCUACUCCCGCCUCCGCCUUGCCCGUGGGCCCACAGACGGCGAAUCGACCGCCGCCCGUCCCCACCGCCUCCCCCCAACCGCCUCCCACCACCAACCUUCCAACCCUUCUGAUGCCGAGCGCAGCGAGAACAAGCAGAUUAUCCUCUUCCUUCGGAAACUCUUCGUCGGCGAGAAUCCCAACACCGCCACCAUAGAAUUGCCAAACGGCAAAAGGAGGCGGGAGCAGGAAGCAGAGAAUGGCUUGAAUUCCGCGUUCGUUGCUUAUGACAAUGGCUUCGAGACGGUGAAUCGGAAUGGGGUUGUCGUUGACGUUGCCGCGUUGGCGGAGAAGGAGGAUAUUUUCGGGGCAGAGGUUAGGAGGAGGACAGAAGGUUUGGAGACGCAGGCAGAAUUGCUCGGCUACUUGGAGGGGUUGGAAGGGCAGUGGGGCAGUCGGAGGAAGAAGAGGAAGAUUGUUGACGCGGCUGAUUUCGGUGAUGAGUUGCCGAGAGGGUGGAAGAUCUUGCUUGGCCUGAAAAGGAAAGAAGGCCGAGUUUGGUUGGCAUGCCGCAAGUACAUAAGUCCAAAUGGACAGAGGUUUGCAUCCUGCAAGGAAGUUUCUUCAUAUUUGCUCUCUUUUAUGAGAACUCAGGAUGCAAGCCAGUCACUUUCCAGUCACAUCGACGAUCGCACUGACGGGAGUUGCAAAUUGCCUACCAGAAGUACUGCAGAUCCCAUCCGCAAAGAUGACAUCACAAGGGAAGACUCCAUAUGCUAUACGGCAGUACCAAUUUCUUCCAUUUCUACUGAUUAUGAGAAGCAAAUUCCCUUACUUAAGGUUCAGAAUCCAGCAAGGGCACAACAACAGAACCUUCUGGAAUGCCGCAAGUGCAGAUUGACUUUUGGCGACAAGGAUACAUAUGUGCAACACGUGUUGUCAUUUCACCGGCGGAAGGCGAAGAGGUGGGGACUUGUUAAAUCCAUCUCCGAUGGGGUGAUUAUAAAAGAUGGAAAGUAUGAAUGCCAAUUUUGCCACAAGAUUUUUGAUGAAAGGCAUCGUUAUAGAGGUCAUGUUGGGGUUCAUGCGAAGUACUAUGUCAAGGGUAUUGGCGCACCGCCAGAUGCCAUAAUUGCACAAAAGAGCUCUGACCCUUCACCCUUGGCUUGGAUGCCGAUGACGGCCUCUGAGAUGGAUGCAUCGGAUGAUAUUGACAAUGACAAGGAUUCUUUACUGGAAACUUCUACGCCCAAGUCCAGUGAUGAACUAAAUGCUGGGUCCCCUCAUGAUCAAAGAGAAACAGAGGAUACUGAAGUGGGUGAUAGUCCAAAGAGCAGUCCACUUGUAAUUACUCACGAAAUUAAAUCCACUGACAAGCAGGAAAAUUGUAAUGAGAUGAUUGAUGCAUGCUCAGAUGCUGUAACUCCCUUGUCUACUAAUGAAGAAAAUGUUGAUUGUCAAGCUUCUUAUGAGAAAGAUUAUUCGUGUAGCACUAUGCUUGAUGAAAUUGAUAAACCUGGCAUUAAGCAAGAAAGAGGACCUGAGUGCCAUUCUGUUUCUCCCUGUGAUAAUGGGCAAGCUCGUGGGAUCGAGACUAAUGUCAAUGAUAUUCUCACUAGCUGUAAGAUGGAACCUGUGCUCGAUGAAACAGAAAGAUCUGGCAAUGAGCUGGAAAGUGGUCUUGAAAGCUGUUCGAUGACUCUACCUGAUAAUGGGCAAACAUGCGAUAUUGAAACUUAUGUGAACGGCAUUUUCACUUGCAGCGGGAAGGAGUCGGUGCUCAAUGAAACAGAAAAAUCUAGUGAUGAGCCAGAAAGUGGUUUUGGAAGAAGCCAUCAUGGAUUGGAUAGAGCUACUGUAAUGGAGAUUUUUGGGAGCAUUGAUGAAGACGAUGUGCUUCAGAAUGUGGUGGCUGACACAUCAAUGGCAGUGCAACAGUCAGAUUGUUUUCCCUCCCUUGAUAUGGUAUCAGAUAAGGGAGAAGAUGAGUUCAGUAGUGUUAACCAGAAGCUUGAGAAGAUGUCAGGUUACGAAGAGCUGAGUUUGGAUGACAUUGAGCCACCAAAAUAUGGUUUAGUGACAGAUCAAGAUUCUGGCUCCUUGCGAGAGGCACCCAUAGACCUGUCCUACUGUGCAGAGUUGGAAGAAGGGCUUAAUAACUCUGUUGAGUUUGAGUGGGACACGGUCUUACCAAAGAUGGUUGGUGAUCAUCAACUUACAACAGUGUGCGUGUGGUGUGGAAUGGAGUUCGACAACGAAGGUGUUGACACCGAAGCUCAGUCAGAUUCUGUUGGUUUUAUGUGUCCAACCUGCAAGGCUAAGAUUUCAGGACAAUUCAAUGGAUUCGACGAUGGCUUGCAAUGAAUUCUGACCAAAUCUGAAUGGGGACAUGUCGCCUCUUCUUCUUUUGAGGGUAAGCUCUGCUUAGAAUGAGGUGAAAUCCGUUACGUCAAACUGGAAUAGGUGCAUUUUUUUAAUGACGGUGGACCACAGCCAUCUACGUAUUCCUUCACCCAUUGCCUCUUUCUGGGGUGCCCCAGAGGAAUAUUACCUGUGGCUCAUCACAGAGAUGCACUUGCUCUCGAAGUGGGGAUUGCAGUUUCAAGGCCAGCUCUGCGUCUACAAAGUGGAAGCGUAUGAUUUUGUUUGGUUUUCACAUUUACUUUGGCUGGCCAUUUUGCUCACAAGUUAUGGUUUUUUUUUUUUUUUUUUUUUUUGCAGUAGUUUGAAAUUUUCUUUCAAGGCUGCUUUGCACCCUCCAUCAUAAAGGGGAGCUGAUGCACUUCUAACUUUGUUUCUUUUAUCUCAACCAUUUAGUUCUUGGAAAAGAAAAAGGGGAAAGAGCUUUAUCAUCA